AUUGAACGCUGGCGGAAUGCUUUACACAUGCAAGUCGAACGGCAGCACGGACUUCGGUCUGGUGGCGAGUGGCGAACGGGUGAGUAAUGUAUCGGAACGUGCCCAGUCGUGGGGGAUAACGUAGUGAAAAUUACGCUAAUACCGCAUACGAUCUAUGGAUGAAAGCGGGGGAUCGCAAGACCUCGCGCGAUUGGAGCGGCCGAUAUCAGAUUAGGUAGUUGGUGGGGAAAAGGCCCACCAAGCCAACGGUCUGUAGCUGGUCUGAGAGGACGACCGGCCACACUGGAACUGAGACACGGUCCAGACUCCUACGGGAGGCAGCAGUGGGGAAUUUGGGACUAUGGGCGAACGCCUGAUUCAGCCAUUCCGCGUGCAGGAUGAAGGCCCUCGGGUUGUAAACUGCUUUUGUACAGAACGAAAAGGUUUCUACUAAUACUAGGAGCUCAUGACGGUACUGUAAGAAUAAGCACCGGCUAACUACGUGCCAGCAGCCGCGGUAA
rnacentral:rRNA from 1 species